AGAGUGAACGCUGGCGGCAGGCCUAACACAUGCAAGUCGAACGGCAGCGGGUCAGUAGCAAUACUGAUGCCGGCGAGUGGCGGACGGGUGAGGAAUACAUCGGAAUCUACCUUGUCGUGGGGGAUAACGUAGGGAAACUUACGCUAAUACCGCAUACGAACUACGGUUGAAAGCGGCGGACUCGCAAGAGCGUCGCGCGAUUGGAUGAGCCGAUGUCCGAUUAGCUAGUUGGCGGGGUAAAGGCCCACCAAGGCGACGAUCGGUAGCUGGUCUGAGAGGAUGAUCAGCCACACUGGAACUGAGACACGGUCCAGACUCCUACGGGAGCAGCAGUGGGGAAUAGUUGGACAAUGGGCGCAAGCCUGAUCCAGCCAUGCCGCGUGUGUGAAGA
rnacentral:rRNA from 1 species